GCGAUAUUAGUGUAGUGGUAACAUUCCUGCCUUCCAAGCAGUCGUCGUCGGUUCGAGUCCGACAUAUCGCUCCA
rnacentral:tRNA from 1 species